CUGAUCCUCCUAGUCAAAGCUAUAGGGUUGUUGGGAAGCAAUAGGUGGUAUAACCACUUUAAUUCUAUUUCUGAUACCAUGCUACAGGAUGCUUUUCAAUCUGUGGCUACAUUUACAUUAGUAAGUCAUUUGGCACAGUAAGAGAGUGUCUGUAACGUGUAACAACACCACAGGCUAACUGCUUUGCCCCACCAGCCAGCCACAGCUGGAGUGCAUUAAAGGCACUCCUGGAGUGCAUCUUCUGCUUUGGGCUUCAUCCAGAAGGGAUGCAGCUGGUGCACUCUGAAAACCAAAGCAUGUGCUGCCAGGGCAAUGAGGGAGAGAGUCACCUCAAAAGUGCACUACUAACCCCAGCCAGAAAGAUCCUACUGUCACAGCCUGCUGUGUGGGCAGCAGCAUCUGCAGGGCACGCCUCACUGCCCAAAAUAAGCCUUGCUGAGACAAACACAACUGCAUUCAGAUCGGGUCCAAGCUUUGUGCUUUUGGUAGUGUGCCAAUACUUCCUUCUACACUUAGCUUUUUCCUUGCCUUCGUUGUUUUUUUGGGUUGUUGUUGUUGUUUUUUUCCUUCUUACGUUAAGCAUGGGAGUUGGUGGAGAAUGAAAACUAGAGUAAGUUUAAGCACUUAUCCUUUCUUAUCCAUUGUACCCAGUCUAGUAGCAUUUCUCCUUAGACACACAAUUCAUUGCUGCAGCAGUUUAUAUGUAUAUUUGAAGCUUAGCUAUGUGUGCAUCACACUGCAGGCCAUGGGAAACCUACUGUGUAUGGAGCAGAUGAUAUGUGAACUCACUGACAGGGCUAAGGCACUGAGCACCUGGUUUGUGAUAGGAGCUGACAGUAGAGUAAGGAAAGUGAUUUGUGUUUUAUUACGCCUUGAAAUAAUGGAUCCCUUCCCCCUCCCAGUGCUUUCUUCUCAGGCAAACUUGUAGCAUCUGAAUCUAGCAAGCUUGCAGAACUUUUCCUUUGCCAUAUGGUUGUCUUAAAAGAUGAAUUUCUCCCUGAGGACAUUUGGGCAAGGUGAGGAGAGAGAUUGAUCAUUUCCAGAUGCUCUUUGCUGGCAGGCAAAGAAAAACUGUUUCAGGUAAUGUUUGUGAAUAUGUUUCCAAAAUAUCCAUUUUGUAUGCAAAUCAGGCAGGGAGAGUACAAGCCAGCAUGACAGACAUCCUAAAAGUGCCUGAGAUGCAUAGGUUUGUGUUAUCAUGGUUGCAUGGUUACUGGGAGGCUCACCCCUGCUGACCUUUGGAGCUUCCCUUUUGUGUUUCCUAUUUCCAAGCAGAGAAGGGAGGUAUUUUUCAUACAGAAAUACAGAGGCCACGCUCAGUGUCCUCGUUAGACAAAUCACCCAGCAUUCGUUGCUUUGAAGUGGAAUCAGGCAGGUAAGAAUCCAUCACUCAUCUUUCAUUUGAUGCUUUGGGUGCCUUUUCUGGUAAGCUUCCUAAAUACUGCAUGCUGGCAUGACUUGGCAAAUGACAGUGAAUUAGUCAAAAGGCUUCUGGGGAGUACCCUGCAUUACAGAAGCAGAGAGACCUGAUGGUUUUUAUGUUAUCUGAGACAGUAGACAGAUGGGGAGAGUGAUGGUGCAUUAGUACCCUCUGCUUGGUGCACUCCAUUUCAGUCUCUUGCAGAGCACAAGCAGGACUCGCACAGCAGCAACUGGAGUCACUGCUGCUUCUGACUGUGCACAAGAAGUCGAUACUUACUUCGAUGCUGACUCUCUUGCCUGGCAGCAAUGUCCUGUCUCUAAUGACUACAAUUUGAUGACUUCUAAAUGGUGAACACUGAGAACCAACCGGUCCUGUAAGAGACCCCGAUGUCUGGAAGCAACAGCCGCCCCUCAGUCCGGUGGCGCCUGUUGACACGUCAUGCUGUAACGCACACUCCACAGGAAGGAAGAUAAGGUGGCAUUUCAGAGAUGUUCAUACCAUAGGAUGCCCACUGCUUGGGAUGAGGAGCAGGGUGGCUGUCAGCACUUCCAUCUCAGGAGCUGUUUUUGGUAGCGGCCAUGGGGAAAGCCAAAGAAGUCAAGCACUGAGAGAUGAAGACAAAGAACAAACAUUAUAAGGGACACAGAUUAAUAAAAGAAGCUUGGCCACACUACCUCCCCAUAAGCGACUGCCGUUUGUGUUAUCACAGUGCUGAAGGAGAGCUGGGAGUGAGCUGUCAGCAGAUGGGCCUGCUGAAGCGAAUCACGUUCUGCACUGCGUGCUCUGCAGCUCCCGAACAAAAUGGGCUAAGCAGGAAACAAAAGCUGGGCUUUGACUCCUGCUGCACUGGCUCAAGCAGGACACGUGGCAGGACGGGCCCAG
rnacentral:lncRNA from 1 species